UUCGGAUAUCACCAUCGAGUAAUUGACGCGUCCAGUUAUAGGUCACGAGAGCGCUGUACUGGCGAGCGUGUACGAAAAGAGUAAAAGGCGAAGGCAAAAGGAAAUGAAGAGAAAGGAAAGGUAAGGAUAGAGAAGGAAGGGAUGGAAAGUUAGUAAGAAAGGAAGUGGAGUAAUCCGGAAGGUACUCUCACUCCAAGCCCCGCCAGAGGAAUUGAAGAACUCCACUUUUUUUUUUAUUUUUAGUAAAAAACAAAGGGAGGGGAAGAAAUAAUUAAGUCGGUAACAAAAAAAAAAAAAAAGUGUGAGAGAGGGAUUUUAGUGUGUAGGGUUAGAGUGAAGCAGAAGAAUUGGUGGGUGUAGGCAGAGAAAGGAAAGCGAGAGGAGGGAGAGUAUCGAGAGAAUAAAAGCAGGCGGGGUGGCUUCUGGAAGGCGCUUCCCUUCGGAUACCGGCGCGUUCGCGGACUGGGCGCAGUCCUCCGCCGACCGGGGCGACGAUCUCUGCCUCGGAUUCAAUGCGGGCGGCGGCAGCGGAGCCGCCGGGGGCGUGGUUUGGGCGGCCGCCGGUAGCUCCGCUGCAGCUGGUGGCGGCGGGCGGCAGACCGUCAAUUACGGCAUCCCUGCCGAUAUGGGCACGGUGGUGCUCGCCUCCGCCGCGUCCUUCCACCCGCAGCACCACCACCACGAAACAUUACUCUCUACGGCGGCAACGGAGCACCACCCAGCCAUCAUCCCCCUCCUCGCCGCUACCCCGUGCAUCGUCGACGACGACAACCCCGCCUCCCAGGGUAAGCUAGGCGGUGGGAUCCACGUCUGGCAACCGGCUCAGCCGCAGGCGACCACGUAUCACCACCACGGUCACCCGUUUCCCCCAUACCAUGAAACCAACCCUAACCCUAGUCCUAACCCUACCCUCUAUAAUUACCUACGGAAGCCGGUGCCGAUGUUGGAAUCCAGAGUAAUUCUCGGAGCCACCGCCGGCGCAGGUGUGUUCACGUGCCAGGACUGUGGCAACCAGGCCAAGAAAGAUUGCAGCCACCGCCGAUGCCGGACUUGUUGCAAGAGCCGAGGGUUCGACUGCUCUACUCACGUGAAGAGCACUUGGGUUCCCGCUGCACGCCGUCGCGAGCGCCAACUAACUGUUGCCGCUGCAGCUGGCUCCUCCACCUCCACCUCCGCACCCAAGAAGGCCCGCCUUGUAUCUUCUCAGCCCGCCACCGCCUCCCACACCUCCACUUCCAACACCACUCCUCGUAGCUUCGACACCACCUCCAGCCACCAAGACGCCGGCGUCAAAGAGAACCUUCCCGGCCACGUGCGUGCCCCAGCGCUGUUCAAGUGCGUGCGUGUGACGUCCAUCGACGACGGCGAGGACGAGUACGCCUACCACGCCAUGGUCAAGAUCGGCGGCCGCGUCUUCAAAGGCUUCCUCUACGACCACGGCCUUGACGACGGCGGCGGCGGCCACUCCGACGACGGAAAGGAAGGCUCCAUACCGAACCUCUCGGAGCUACACCUCGGAAACCGCUUAGCCGGCGCUUCCUCAUCGUCACCGAUGCUGCCAUCGUCGUCGGACGCCUUCGGCGGAGGAUUGGUUGGAAGCGCCAACUACGAUAACCAAAUAAACUGAUGAAUCAUCCCGAUGCUUUGUUGUAACAGUAUGCUCCUUUAUCUUUCUUCCUUCAUUUUACUUGCGGCGAUUAUAUUUCCUCUUUAAUUACUAAAUAUUAUACAUUUCACGGGGAUAAUACUGUCUCAUUUCUUCCUGGCCAUUAUUCAUCGCUGUCCAAUCAUCAUUAUUUGUUGCACUAUUACUACCGUCUUCUUCUCCUCUUUCCUUUCUAAAUAGAGAAAGGAAUUUGGUGCAACGUAAAUUGCAUUGCUCAUGUCGCUCUUUGGGCCAUCUCCUGCCCUACCCGCGACUGUUCUCUUCAUGUAUAGUUAAACUUGCAAAUCUUCUUGGGGGUAGUUCUUUUGAGGAGGUGUAUGGCCAAGGAAGUUGCAUCGAGACUGGUGGAGAAUUUUUUUUAUCGAACUUUGUGUGUAUUAAGUUCCAAGUUAAAGCAUGGCUGCUUUCGGCUGUUUCUUUUCCAAGGCCGGAUGGGUGGCUUGGUAUGGCCGCAAGUUUUCUGUUCAUCCUGUUCCUUUUGUCAUCCCGUCCAGUCUUGCCACUUCACAUCAUAAUAGCUCGAGAAUCUGGACAGUGUGUGUAGUAUGGCGGUGUAUCCGGAAUGGUUUCAUCAAGGCGAUCAUUCCAAGUUAAAUACUGAAACUUUUAGUGUCAGUUCUCUUUUUCUGCAUCGGUCUAUGGGGAAAGCAUGCGUUGAUCUAAAGAGAGCAAGAGGUGAGAACGGAAGGACUGGAAGGAGAUAGACCACGGUGGCAAUCAUGAUGAUAGAGGCACUAAAUCUAGUUGACAUUGGCCUCAAUAUUAAGUACCAUGUAAAGGGAUCUAGUUGGACUAUAGAUGCACACUCGAGAAAUGUUGUCGAACGAAAUUGUUUGAUAGACACGGAGUUGCUCACUCACUUUCAUGAAAUGGUCAGGCAAAAUUAUGACAGUCAAGUGAAGGAGAGAUAGAUGUGUAUAUGGAGGAUGAGAAGAGACUGGCAUGAAAGAAAAUGAGAGGAGACGAAGGAUAUAGUAUUAGAUUGCUUAAUUGAGAGCGUAAAAUUCAAGUGAUGAAUAAGAAUAUGUCGUGUAAAACUCAGAGGUUCAAGUGAUGAAUAAGAAUAUGUCGUGUAAAA